rnacentral:rRNA from 1 species
UACGUAGGUGGCAAGCGUUGUCCGGAUUUAUUGGGCGUAAAGGGAGCGCAGGCGGUGACUUAAGUCUGAUGUGAAAGCCCACGGCUCAACCGUGGAAGGUCAUUGGAAACUGGGUCACUUGAAUAUAGAAGAGGAAAGUGGAAUUCCAUGUGUAGCGGUGAAAUGCGUAGAUAUAUGGAGGAACACCAGUGGCGAAGGCGACUUUCUGGUCUAUUAUUGACGCUGAGGCUCGAAGGCAUGGGUAGCAAACAGGAUUAGAUACCCCCGUA